rnacentral:rRNA from 1 species
UACGUAGGGCGCAAGCGUUGUCCGGAAUUAUUGGGCGUAAAGAGCUCGUAGGCGGUUUGUCGCGUCUGUCGUGAAAGCCCACGGCUUAACCGUGGGUCUGCGGUGGAUACGGGCAGACUAGAGGCAGGUAGGGGAGAAUGGAAUUCCCGGUGUAGCGGUGAAAUGCGCAGAUAUCGGGAGGAACACCAGUGGCGAAGGCGACUACCUGGCCUGUUCUUGACGCUGAGGCGCGAAAGCUAGGGGAGCAAACGGG